rnacentral:tRNA from 1 species
GCCGAGGUAGCCAAGGUGGUCACGGCGCGUGUCUGAAAAACAUGAGAUACUGGUUCGACUCCAGUCCUCGGCA